UGGCUCAGGAUGAACGCUGGCGGCGUGCUUAACACAUGCAAGUCGAACGAUGAAGCCCACUUGUGGGUGGAUUAGUGGCGAACGGGUGAGUAACACGUGAGUAACCUGCCCUUGACUCUGGGAUAAGCCUGGGAAACUGGGUCUAAUACCGGAUAUGACCUUCCAUCGCAUGGUGGUUGGUGGAAAGCUUUUGUGGUUUUGGAUGGACUCGCGGCCUAUCAGCUUGUUGGUGAGGUAAUGGCUUACCAAGGCGACGACGGGUAGCCGGCCUGAGAGGGUGACCGGCCACACUGGGACUGAGACACGGCCCAGACUCCUACGGGAGGCAGCAGUGGGGAAUAUUGCACAAUGGGCGCAAGCCUGAUGCAGCGACGCCGCGUGAGGGAUGACGGCCUUCGGGUUGUAAACCUCUUUCAGUAGGGAAGAAGCGAAAGUGACGGUACCUGCAGAAGAAGCGCCGGCUAACUACGUGCCAGCAGCCGCGGUAAUACGUAGGGCGCAAGCGUUAUCCGGAAUUAUUGGGCGUAAAGAGCUCGUAGGCGGUUUGUCGCGUCUGCCGUGAAAGUCCGGGGCUCAACUCCGGAUCUGCGGUGGGUACGGGCAGACUAGAGUGAUGUAGGGGAGACUGGAAUUCCUGGUGUAGCGGUGAAAUGCGCAGAUAUCAGGAGGAACACCGAUGGCGAAGGCAGGUCUCUGGGCAUUAACUGACGCUGAGGAGCGAAAGCAUGGGGAGCGAACAGGAUUAGAUACCCUGGUAGUCCAUGC
rnacentral:rRNA from 1 species